GACGAACGCUGGCGGCGUGCUUAACACAUGCAAGUCGAACGGAGUGGCGAACGGGUGAGUAACACGUGGGUGACCUGCCCUGCACUUCGGGAUAAGCCUGGGAAACUGGGUCUAAUACCGGUUAGUGUGGGAUGGGCCCGCGGCCUAUCAGCUUGUUGGUGGGGUAAUGGUCUACGAAGGCGGGGACGGGUAGCCGGCCUGGGGGGGUGGACGGCCACAAUGGGACUGAGGCACGGCGCAGACUCCAACGGGAGGCAGCGGUGGAGAGUAUUGCCCAAUGGGCGGAAGCCUGAUGCAGAGGCGCCGGGUGGGGGAUGACGGCCUUCGAGUUGUAAACUCCUGUCACCAUCGACGCGGUAGAUGGAGAAGAAGCACCGGCUAACUACGUGCCAGCAGCCGCGGUAAUAC
rnacentral:rRNA from 1 species